UUGUUUGUCAUAUCAAGCUUCGACACCCAGAAAUUAUAAGCUAUCUAAAACAUCACCCUGCUCCUCCCUGAUAAGAAUUUGAACUCUCUUACGAAGAAAAUGAAGCAAAAGGUAGUGAUCCGGGUGAACUUGAAUAAUGGCAAAAAGAAUGCUCGGACCAAGGCCUUGCAGAUUGCAGUUGGUGUACAAGGUGUUGAAUCAGUAUCUUUACAAGGUGAGGAUAGCAGUCAAAUUGUUGUUGUUGGGAAUGACAUUGAUUUAGUCCACUU